UUUUUUUUUAAGUUUUAGUUGAGCGGACGAAAUAUCAUCCGAUUUAUGUAGAUUAUAUCGAAUGUUGUUCGUUUGCAUGAAUUCUGUCAUGUUUGCGUGAAUUAUGUCCGAAUUUAUUUGUAUUGCGGGUGGAGGUUUGGGGCGGCGUUGGAUGGCCUAUUCCCGUAUCAUUGUCCGCGGACGUGUUCGUGAAUAAAAUAAUAUGUCCGUUUUGGGGCCGGUGUUUGAGAUGUCCUAAGGGCAGAGAUCAUCCAACCAAAGUCAUCAAAUGUCCACUCCUAGCCAUUUCUUCUUGUACCCGGACUACUCAAAAGAAUCAAAGAUAAAAUAGCACAAUUCUUAAGCAACUGAAAGAUAAAUAUUUCAAAGCAAGAAUAAUUCAAUUAAAAUGUUACAAUCAAAAUGUAAAUUUUUGAAAUAAAAUAGUUCAAGUUUGAUUUCAUAUCAGUCGGGCACACAUUCUAGUGCAUAUAAAACACCCAAAAUGCUCAACCAGAACAUUUUGCAGCGGCUCAUGAGUUUCUCAAUAUCGAAUUUGAUGGUGUGUCUGCAUAAAAUCCUCAAAUGUCAUCGGAUUCUGCUCUAAAAGUUUGGAUAGGAUCACCCAUAUUUUGAAAAUGCAGACGAUGGUGAACCCCAUCACCCUCAUCCCAUAAUCUUGUAGUGCAUGUUCACACAAUCUGUCAUCACCUCCCACAAUGUCUUUAGAUCCCAUAGUUUGGCAGGUCCGCGAAUAACUGCAGAGCGGGCUUGGAGCACUUCAAAUGCCCUCUCGACAUCCUUUAUAACAUAUUCUUGACUUUGGGCAAAGUGAUAUCUUUUUUUUUACCCAUUGAUUCAGAUAUAUGGUCUUAACUAAACAAAGAUAGUACACAACCUUGCAAAUAAUGGACACCACUGCAGCACGUUGAUGUCAUUGUAGACCCAGGCAUGCCAAAGAAAGAGCGCUAAAUCUAGAUGUCAUGGGAUGCAACUGCUUCAGGAAUGAUGGUGGGCUUUUUGCAAUGGCCUUGGUAUUGCCCUUGUUCUGCAUACCGCGGUUUUUUCAUUCCCAUCGCAUGCAAUUUAGGGAUCCGAGCAUACCUAGAAAACCCUCUUUCUUCUCCAAUUGCCAUGGGUUUUGCAGUGUCUGCAGGAGUUGGUUCUUUCAAGUACUUCGUCCAAACACCUUCACCACUACAGUAUCAAAUUUGACCAUGGCUUCGAGAUAUGUGCUUUUAGACAUCCAGAGGUACUCAUCGCACAAAUUUGUGACCAUGCCAUAGGAAAGCAACCUCACUGCAGCACACAAAACUCAAUGAUUCCUACUUCAGGGUGAUAUAAUCAUCACAGGCUCGGACACCACGGUAGAUACGAUCAAACACUUGUCGCCACAUUUGAAAAUGAAGACGUAAUAGGGCUUGAAUAACACAUCGGGGGCAAAACAGCUGCCGGCCAGCAACAGAUGCCCCCGUGUGUUAUUCCGGUUCAACAGCCGAUGUCCUUUUGUUGAACCCUUGUAGUUGAGAAUAUGCUCAGACGCACGCAUUGCCCCUGCAAGAACCGCUCUCAUCAUGGUUGUUUCCAUGCUCAUAUUCCUCCUCAUCCGACAAAGACGACUCAAUGAACUCGAUGUGGAAGUACUCCCCAUCCAAAUCCAUCGUGUUUGAUUCAAAGUAAACAACGAGCUUCAGAAAAAUUGGCUAUGGCAUUUGAUCAAACAUUUGUCGGGCGUGGUGACCGCCAUGGAUGGCGUCGACAGAUAGCGGGGAUACCUGGGAUGCGGCCAGAUCUGAGGUGGGACGACAAUGUAGGGGAAGGCGGGCAAAGCGCCUGGGUGAAGCGGUGGAGGUCCGGGAAGGCGUGGGCGGCGGUCGGGGUGAUACAACAGAGGAGUCGGUCAGCGACGGAGUAGAUAUAAAGCACAGUAAAGAGAGAUGGAAUGGGAAAAAGGUGCUUCGGAUCGAAAAAGCAUUGCGGGGCCGGGCUCCAUAGAGCUCUUUAAUUUUUUUAGCAAAAAUACUAUUUUCACAUAUUGAAAAAAUCUGAAAAAUAAGUAUACAUAGAUGUAUUUUUGUAGUAUACACGUAUAAAAUGUCAUGAAUAUUUAUCUUUUUAGAAAGGAGGGAGUAUAUUAACUUUGUAUUAAUGACUCAACUUUGUAUUAACUUUAGUACAAAGUUGGAUCAUCUAUUUUAGAACGGAGGGAGUAUAUGUUUGCACGUAAUGUAUACAAAAAAGAUAAAUGCACAAAAUAGAAUGGGCUUUAUCUUUGUUGUUUUUGGGCUAGAUAUUUAUCUUUUUUGUGUAGCAUGCAAAUAAUCGAAUCACCUGAUGAAACUUUUUACAUACUUGACGAACAUGCAUAUGUAUUUUUUGAUAUUUUUUGAAGCUUUUAAUUUUAUUUUACUUUUUGGCAAAACAGGCACAAUGAAGCCGGGCAUCUGCAACACCGUGCCCUCUUUGGAUGAGGUAUUUUAAGUGGACCAAGCGUGUCAGAGUUCGACAUGAAGGAGAUCCGAACAUCUGCAACCCUCCCCUGUGUUUACUUCUGUUUUGUGGGAUUUCAGACAUGCGAAUCUAUCCAGACAAAAUUGUGGACCGGUGUUGGACGGCAAAAGAUGUGGGAUUUCAAACAUGCGGACCUAUCCUGACAAAAUUGUGGACCGGUGUUGGACGGCAAAAAAUCAAAAUUAUGUACCGGUGUUCGAUGCCAAAAAGAUGUCCGAACAGUCCACUCCAAACACUGGCCAGAACAGCCACGCCAUAGAAACGGGACGUCCUCACAAACCUUAAACAGCAACAGCUGCCGUGAAGCAUUGCUUUUAGCUACAGAUCAUGAUGUAGAAUCUUUUCAAUGUUCGUUCCAUGCUAGUACCUGCCUAGAUAGUCAUCAGGAUCAUGAAAGGUUUACAUGACUGCGUAAUAGUGGCUCUAGAGAACAGAAACGUAACAAGACGGUGACACAUUAAGAUUCAAGAAACAGUUUCAUCAGCACAUAAAAAUCCAUGCACGGCAUCCGAAUAAUCAAACAGUACAAAUGUUAAAGAAAAAGAAAACAUAUCUUGUCUUAAGACCAACUACAUACGCUAGAGUCAUCCAGUCAAGAGAAAUCCCGCUUCCGCAAUUGUAUCAGCAGCAAAAGAACACAAAUGCCAAGGAAGAACAAUACUCGGCCGCCUGGCCAUUCAAUAGUCAUACCAAAACAUUCAAGGAAACAAGCGGAGGCCCCCACCCCCCAACACUUCCAGCAUUGUGGAACCAAGUGCUCACGCGUUAUCAGCAUAAGGGGACUCCUCGCGCUGGGGUGGCUGUGCUGGGGACCUGCUAUAGCUCCGUUCACGGGCAGGCGGUGGUGACUUGCUGAUGCUUCUGGCACGAGGAGGCGGUGGUGACCUGCUGAUGCUUCUGUUGCGAGGAGGCGGAGGUGACCUGCUGAUGCUUCGCGCACGGGCAGGCGGCGGUGACCUGCUGAUGCUUCGCCCACGGGCAGGCGGUGGAGACCUGCUGGUGCUUCGCGCACGGGCAGGCGGUGGAGACCUGCUGUAACUUCGCUUCCUGGGAGACCGAUCCCGUGGACUGUAGCUCCUGAAUCAGGUAAAGAUAAAAGCAUUGAGCACACAGCUGCUAAAGUAUUAGUAAGAGAUCAUACUACUACAGCAAGGCAAUUGUCAGUAAUUUGUUCCAUCUGUUAAUGUACAAAUGGUUCUUCACAUUUUAUGUUUCUGACCUACGGACAAAGCCGAUGAAAUUGUAGCAGACAAAACGAAAAGGGAAACAUUAGACCACUUUACCAACAGUCCAACACAGAAGUAAAUGACAUAGGACUUGGGUAAGUAAGAAUCAGAAAUUGAAGAAUUGACUUCACAUGUACUGAGAAAUAUUACUAGGUCAAAAUUAGAACUUUCACAAACAAUAUCUCACAAGAUAUUCUUCCUUUGUUCUUCAAGCCUACUCCCUCCGUCCGGUGAAGAGUGUACAUCUAGCUUCAAAAUUUGUCCACAAAAGAGUGUACUCCUAUCUUCCCAAUGCACUUUAAAGUGGGAAAACAUAUCUCUCAUCACAUGGUACAUGCACUUAGCUCAUUGGGGGUUGGGUAAUUAAAGAGGGGAGAGAUGGUGGCUUGCACCUUUCCAAUGCAUUUUUUACUCAACUCCAUAAUUUGUCCUAAAAUUUCUAGAUGUACACUCUUUACCGGACGGAGGGAGUAUAUAUUUAUAAUUACAGAUAACACAUGUCCAUGCCUAAAACAUAAUUUACUUGUGAGCGGAGGGCAUACCUUCUGCCAUAGCUUGGGCUCCUGCGGUAUCUUGGGCUACAGCUACGGCUGCGGUGCCUCGGGCUUCGGCUGCGGCGUCUUCCGCUACCCAGGCCCCCAGAACCAAUCCGUAGGCGACAUUCUCGUGCAAAGUGGCCACUUUCACCACACUCAUAGCACUUCAUAUCAGAACCUCCAG
rnacentral:lncRNA from 1 species